UACGUAGGGGCCGAGCGUUGUCCGGAGUUACUGGGCGUAAAGCGCGCGCAGGCGGCGCAUCGCGCCCGGCGUGAAAGCCCCCGGCUCAACCGGGGAGGGUCGUCGGGGACGGGUGCGCUUGAGGACGGCAGGGGCAGGUGGAAUUCCCGGUGUAGUGGUGAAAUUCGUAGAUAUUCGGAAGAACACCAGUGGCGAAGGCGGCUCACUGGACUGGUAUUGACGCUGAGGUGCGAAAGCGUGGGGAGCAAACAGG
rnacentral:rRNA from 1 species